UACAGAGGUCUCAAGCGUUGUUCGGAUUCAUUGGGCGUAAAGGGUGUGUAGGUGGCGCCGUAAGUCGGGUGUGAAAUUUCGGAGCUUAACUCCGAAACUGCAUUCGAUACUGCGGUGCUUGAGGACUGGAGAGGAGACUGGAAUUCAUGGUGUAGCAGUGAAAUGCGUAGAGAUCAUGAGGAAGACCAGUGGCGAAGGCGGGU
rnacentral:rRNA from 1 species